CCGUGCAACGUGACUCUGCGAGCAUGUGCACCAGGUGGCAUUGAAAAAUGCGUUUCUCAAGGGCACUACUGCAAGGUAGUGCGGCGGUUUCUUCGAUGGGCGAGCUCUCUAUUCAUGCGUGCGUCGGUGUUAUUCAGAACCCUAGUCGCGGGGCUCUCCAGGGAGAACCGGAGUGGUCAUGCAAGCUGCUCUUGACGGAGUGCGGCAUCCCGGCGCGGUGGCCUCCAACUCUGCGCGCAGUUGCUUCGCAGCAGGUGUUUCACCUGCGGUGCCGAGGAGCGGCUAUGGCAGGAUACUGCUUCGCAAAUCUGAGAGAGGGGGAGCUCGUCCACGUUGUAUCUAAGCUCGUCCACAAACCUAGGUAUGUGCCUGUUCACGGCACCUACUUCACCACCACUGAGUUGCUAGUAACGGACUCACUAGGCUCCAUUGUAUCGGUCGCUCAACUAGUUUAAGGUGGAGUCGCGGCUCUUGUGGCUCGAGCGCGGUAGUGCUUCUGCUCUUUAGACAUUUUGGCGUUUUUGUAGCUCUGACAACAGAGUGUCGUUAAGGUCAAACCAAAAUUCCCGCGGAAGAGGGCAGUAGUUUUCGCCUUUGAAGGUGCGCUUUCCGCUGCGCUUCUGUACUUUUCUUCUAUGCCAGGGUCGCGUUUUUCGGCGCGAAGUCUCGCAGUGGCAGUUGGGGGGGGAGCUCGCCUGGUGCUGCUUGUGCCAUGCAGCUCUUUGUUUUCUCCUGAUUUCUCCUCCACCGUGCACUCUCUCUGCUCACAUCAAUUUUCUCCUUCGACGUUCGCAG
rnacentral:misc_RNA from 1 species